AUUGAAAUGCCAGUUCUCGUACGAUCACUGAAGUUAAGCAACUUUUAGACUUGUCAGUGCCUAGAUAGGUGACCGCUUGGGAAUACCAGGUGCUGUAAG